rnacentral:rRNA from 1 species
AGCAGCCGCGGUAAUUCCAGCUCCAAUAGCGUAUAUUAAAGUUGUUGCAGUUAAAAAGCUCGUAGUUGAAUUUCGGGAUCAAUUAGUCGGUCGUGCCUCUGGUACGUACUGGUUUUAUUGGUUCCUCCCUUCUGACGAAACAUGAUGUCAUUAAUUUGGUGUCGUGGAGAAUCAGGACUGUUACCUUGAAAAAUUAGAGUGUUUAUAGCAGGCUAACGCUUGAAUACAUUAGCAUGGAAUAAUGAAAUAGGACGUUCGACCCUAUUUUGUUGGUUUCUAGGAUCGACGUAAUGAUUAAUAGGGAUAGUUGGGGGCAUUAGUAUUCAAUUGUCAGAGGUGAAAUUCUUGGAUUUAUUGAAGACUAACUACUGCGAAAGCAUUUGCCAAGGAUGUUUUCAUUAAUCAAGAACGAAAGUUAGGGGAUCGAAGACGAUCAGAUACCGUCGUAGUCUUAACCAUAAACUAUGCCGACUAGGGAUCGGAUGAUGUUAAUUUUUAUGACUCAUUCGGCGCCUU